GUCAGGAGGAGGGCUGACUUUCAAUAGAUCGCAGCUUUUUGCUGCUCUGCUACGUACGAAACCCUGACCCAGAAUCAGGUUGUCUACGAAUGAUUUAGCACCCGGUUCCCCACGAACGUACGGUGCACUGCUGGAGAGAGGCGGCCCCCUUCCAUCCUCGCUCCGACCCAGUGACGAGCGGCGCUCCUCGCCAGCCGGCUAUCCCUGGCCAACCGGAGAUCCGCGGCACUGCGGUAUCGUUACGUUUAGGCGGGAUUCUGACUUAGAAGCGUUUAGUCAUAAUCCCACAGAUGGUAGCUUCGCACCAUUGGCUCCUCAGCCAUGCACAUACACCAAAUGUCUGAACCUGUGGUUCCUCUCGUACUGAACAGGAUUACUAUCGCAAAAACACAUCAUCAGUAGGGUAAAACUAACCUGU